rnacentral:misc_RNA from 1 species
GAUGAAGAACGUAGUGAAAUGCGAUACGUAAUGUGAAUUACAAAUUCAGUGAAUCAUCGAGUCUUUGAACGCACAUUGCGCCCCCUGGUAUUCCGGGGGGCAUGCCUGUCCGAGCGUCAUUGCUGCCCUCAAGCACGGCUUGUGUGUUGGGCCCCGUCCUCCGAUCCCGGGGGACGGGCCCGAAAGGCAGCGGCGGCACCGCGUCCGGUCCUCGAGCGUAUGGGGCUUUGUCACCCGCUCUGUAGGCCCGGCCGGCGCUUGCCGAUCAACCCAAAUUUUUUAUCCAGGUUGACCUCGGAUCAGGUAGGGAUACCCGCUGAACUUAAGCAUAUCAAUAAGCGGAGGA